rnacentral:rRNA from 1 species
UACGAAGGGGGCUAGCGUUGCUCGGAAUUACUGGGCGUAAAGCGCACGUAGGCGGAUUGUUAAGUCGGGGGUGAAAUCCUGGAGCCCAACUCCAGAACUGCCUUCGAAACUGGCGAUCUUGAGUCCGGGAGAGGUGAGUGGAACUGCGAGUGUAGAGGUGAAAUUCGUAGAUAUUCGCAAGAACACCAGUGGCGAAGGCGGCUCACUGGCCCGGUACUGACGCUGAGGUGCGAAAGCGUGGGGAGCAAACAGG